rnacentral:rRNA from 1 species
UGAGUUUGAUCCUGGCUCAGAGUGAACGUUUGCAAUAUACUUAACACAUGCUAGUCGAAUGCAUUUUGCAUGGCGUACAGGUGAGUAAUACAAAAGAAUCUACUUUAAAGUUUUGAUAAAACCAUAGUUUUUAAAGAAUCUUAUAUUGGUAAUUAUUGAAUAGUGUAAAGGAUAAGUCCGCUUUUUAAUGAGCUUUUGUAGUAUUAGGUUGUUGGUAGGGUAAAAGCCUACCAAGCCAAUGAUGCUUAGUUGGUCCGAGAGGACGAUCAGCCACACUGGAACUGAAACAAGGUCCAGGCUUUAGCCUGCAGUGAGGAAUUUUAGACAAUGAGCGAAAGCUUGAUCUAGUAAUAUUGCGUGAAUGAAGAAGGCAUUAAAGAUUUGCUAUUAGCAAUUCGGUCGUAAAGUUCUUUCGCUGUCGAUGGAUAAUGACGUUAGACAGAGAAGAAGUCCCAGCUAAUUUCGUGCCAGCAGCUGCGGUUAUACGGAAGGGGCGAACGUUAUUCGGAAUGAUUGGGCGUAAAGAGUUCGUAGGUGGUUUUAAGGGUUAUUUGUUAAAUGUAUGGUUUAUAGCUUAGAAAGGCAUUUAAUACUUUAAGACUUGAGUAUAAUAGGGGAUAACAGAAUUUUAUACAUAGGGGUAAAAUCUUAUAAUUUAUAAAAGAAUGUCAGCGGCGAAGGCGGUUAUCUGGAUUAUUUACUGACAUUGAGGAACGAAAGCUUAGGGAGCAAACAGGAUUAGAUACCCUGGUAGUCUAAGCUGUCAAAUAUGGAUAUUAAUGCUUGGAUUUUGUUUUUCUGGCAUACAGUUAACGCGUUAAAUAUCCCGCCUGAGAAGUACGGUCGCAAGACUGGAACUCAAAGGAAUUGACGGGGGUUGAAACAAGUGGUGGAGCAUGUGUUUUAAUUCGAUAAUACACGCAUAAUCUUACCAACUUUUGAAUAACAGUUUUGCUAUAGUGUUAUAGCUAUUGCUUUUUUUUCUUUUUUUAUUAAAAGUUUUGAAAUAACUGUUACAGGUACUGCAUGGCUGUCGUCAGUUCGUGCUGUGAAGUGUUUGGUUUAGUCCUUGUAACGAACGCAACUCUCAUUUUAUAUUGGUCUAUUUCUUUUUUAACAUUGGAAUACCACUUAUAAAUUACUACUAAAACUAAUUUAGGGGAAGGUGAGAAUGACGUCAAGUCUUUAUGGUCCUUAUAGGUUGGGCUACACAUGUGCUACAAUGGUAAUUACAAAAAGUUAUACAAUAAAGUAAUUUGGAGUAAAUCUUUAAAAAUUACCGUGUUCGGAUUAAAGACUGCAAUUUGUCUUUAUGAAGUUGGAAUCACUAGUAAUCGUAGAUCAGCAAGCUACGGUGAAUUUGUACCUUGACCUUGCACACACCGCCCGUCACAUGCNGGGAAUNANUUUUGUUUGAAGUUUUNNNNNNUAUUGGGUUGACUUUUUAGUUGAGCUAAUGUGAGGUAUAGAUUUUAUUGUUAAUAAAGUAAGUGUG